rnacentral:rRNA from 1 species
GACGAACGCUGGCGGCGUGCUUAACACAUGCAAGUCGAGCGGUAAGGCCCUUUCGGGGGUACACGAGCGGCGAACGGGUGAGUAACACGUGGGUGACCUGCCCUUAGCUCUGGGAUAAGCCUGGGAAACUGGGUCUAAUACCGGAUAUGACUCCAUGACGCAUGUUGUGGGGUGGAAANCCUUGUGCGGCUAGGGAUGGGCCCGCGGCCUAUCAGCUUGUUGGUGGGGUGAUGGCCUACCAAGGGCGACGACGGGUAGCCGGCCUGAGAGGGCGACCGGCCACACUGGGACUGAGACACGGCCCAGACUCCUACGGGAGGCAGCAGUGGGGAAUCUUGCGCAAUGGGCGAAAGCCUGACGCAGCGACGCCGCGUGAGGGAUGACGGCCU